rnacentral:lncRNA from 10 species
CUCACUGCAGCAGCCUCAGGAAUGAGGAACUAAGACCCACCUGGUGCGAUGAAUAAACCCAGACUCUCAGCAAUGCAGAAACUGGCCGGUGACUUGGGGGAAAGGAUCCUCGCAUACCACAGUGAUAAGGUGACUCUGUGCACAGACCAAGGAAGGAAAAGCCACAGGAGCUGGCAAAGUACUUCCUUGGUGGUCGGGACCAAGCAUUAUUUUCAAAAGCAGAUGAUUGAAAAAUCAAAAUCUGCAUAAAGAGAAGACACCCAACCAAGGAGAUACUAUGUUCCUAUAGAGAAGAAUGAGGAAGGUUUUCACAUUCCAACGAAACCAUCUCCAAAAUUACUCAUUGAAAAAAGCAAGAAUCCAGAUAAGUGUUAUAAUUUUUGUAAACAGGGGAAAAUUAUGUAUAUGCUUUAUUAUAGAAGUAUAUGUGUAAUUACGUACCGUAUAAUAUGAAUGUAUAUAUGUGAACUUGGUAGUCCAUGCGUAAGAUGUCUCUCUAAUUAAUGUUAGUGGCCUUCAGGAAAGGAAUUUUGUGGAUGGGAAUUAAUAGUGGAAGGAAGACUUUUAGUCGUAGAAGUCUUGAACCAUG